UACGGAGGGUGCGAGCGUUGUCCGGAAUCACUGGGCGUAAAGGGCGCGUAGGUGGCCUGUGGAAGUCUGCGGUGGAAGCCCGGCGCUCAACGCCGGGUCGGCCGUGGAUACUCUCGGGCUUGAGCUUACUAGAGGCAGAUGGAAUUCCGGGUGUAGCGGUGGAAUGCGUAGAGAUCCGGAAGAACACCGGUGGCGAAGGCGGUCUGCUGGGGUAAUGCUGACACUGAGGCGCGACAGCGUGGGGAGCAAACAGG
rnacentral:rRNA from 1 species